rnacentral:snoRNA from 1 species
CCCUGCAUUAAAAAGUGAUUGUGCAAUGCUUAUGCUCUGGGCAUUGAUACUAUGGGGAGAGAAUGCCAAAAGCCUCUCCCUGUGUUUGGAAGGUCCAGUCCUGCCUGUCCUUGCUAAAUCCUGGUGCUUUUGAACA